rnacentral:rRNA from 1 species
GACGUAGGGCGCGAGCGUUGUCCGGAUUUAUUGGGCGUAAAGAGCUCGUAGGCGGCUUGUCGCGUCGACUGUGAAAACCCGCGGCUCAACCGCGGGCCUGCAGCCGAUACGGGCAGGCUAGAGUUCGGUAGGGGAGACUGGAAUUCCUGGUGUAGCGGUGAAAUGCGCAGAUAUCAGGAGGAACACCAAUUGCGAAGGCAGCUCGCUGGGACGUUACUGACGCUGAGACGCGAAAGCGUGGGGAGCGAACAGG